GAUUAGAAGGUUGAAUGCUUAUUGUUUACCCUAAACCUGGUGGCAUCGUCCAAAUGAGGAAAGUCUCGUUACAGUGGUGUGCGUGAUUCCCUCUCAACUUCUCGGCUCGAAUUUCUCACAUAUGAAGCGAGGCGCACGUGAUCCAUUUGAUUUGUACCUUUGAGGCCGGAAGCAAGGGCCAACGUCAUGGGUUUGAAGAGCCAAUCGUGGUUGUCCUUGGCGGCGCGUGAGGGGAGGAAGCGAACGAGGCUGGCGGCGGCGGAAGAGUGGGGGAGUUUGUGGGCGAUGCGCUGCACUCGAAGGGGGAUCCAUGCGAGGAAGAGGAAGAGCGCGAGGACGAAGGGGAUGGAGUGGGGUUUCAAUUCGAGAAAGUCACGCGUUUGAGCUUGGACGAAUUCGAAGGCCAAUGUUUCCAACAGUCGCGAUAAUUUAACGUUUGGACGCCUCUGUAGAAAUCCAUAAUUAUAGCAUUUGAAGAUGCACUUAAGUCUGUCAUUUGAGCUGAUGAUGGUCACUGUACAAAGAACUUGCUUACUCUUGUUGCUGAGGCUAUCAAAAAAUUAGGAGUCCUUGAUCGGCUCCUAGAGGUUCAGAAGCUUGAUAAUGUUGACAUAGAAAGAGCUAUCCAUGCAUAUUAUGACAUAACUCGUCAACAAUGCAUGAUAUGUAGAGAAUUGAGUGAAGAGCAACUCAAAAGAUAUUCCUCUUUGCAUUCUGCUUGGUUGGAUGAAAGCUUGAGAAUUGUAAAGGACUACCUAAUAGUAGCAACAGCAAAAGACUGCAGUUUUAUGAUAUUUUUUAGACCCAGGAAAGAAGGGGAUUUUGGAUCUGAAUGCAGUAGCAUAUAUCUCGAGUCAACUAAGCAAGCCUUUGACUUCAAGGUUUCAAAUAGAAGAGGUGUUACAAAUCCAAAAAUAGAAUGAAGAUUAAAGGGAGAUGAUGAAAAAAAGAAGAGAAAAGAGAAAGAACAUGUUUGUAAUGCGUUGCUGAAAUUGUAACAGAGGCUAAAGGAGAGAAUCCUCCUUCCAAAGAUUUCCCCUUUUACAACUGAGCUACUACUCUGUUCUCAAUGGUGUAUUUUAUUGACUUGGAUUUGAAGCGAAUGAGUAAAAUGGAAGAAUAUUAUGAAUUAGAUAAGAAGAUAGUGAGUUGCUACAAAAAAAAAUGAUCAAAAUGGAUCAAGGAAGAAAUUCACAAACUUGCAAGCACCUUAAACUGCCUGCUGGGUUUUAGAAGGCUCUGUUAUAGAUGACACCUGAGGAAGAUUGCAUUGGAUUUAAUGUUGAGACUGUGGAGUACAAGAGCAUCAGCUUCACCGUGUGGGAUGUUGGUGGGAUCAAGACAAGGUAAAGCUGGUCUUCUUGUCCCUUUAUGCUUGUUUGUUCCUAUUUUAAUUGUAACAAAGAGCUAAUAAAAUUCAUUGCAUGACUAUGAAUAAUGAAUCUUAAUCAUAGACUUUUUAUUCAUGUUCUGACUCCUAGCUUUGUUCAAGCUUUUUUAUUUUUAUUUUUAUUUUUUUAUGGGAUCUUUACACAUGGUUUGAUUGAUCUAAAAAGUUAAGGAUUAUAUCAUUUAUGUGUAUUUGAUUAAAAACACGGAACGUCCAAUUCAUAAAUUUAAUUCAUUAGGAAUUUAAUACAUUUUGUCUAAGUAGGUAUUAGAGUCACCCAAGUUGUUCUCACCACUACAAGAAGACUAAGAAUCUCCCAUUAGUCUAGAACUAGAAAUAAGAAGUACUUUUUUGCCACUGUCAUCUAUUUGUUAAAUUUAUAAUCAAAAUAGAAAAGUUUUUAGUCUAUCAUGUUAUAAUACAAGAUAUAGGCAUAUAUAUUCUUGGCUCUUGUAUUGAGGAGACUAGGAUUAGAUUAACUAUUUAACAAGUCUCAACAUUAAGAUUUUGUAUAUAGUUUCAAUUGAAUAAAAUUGUAAUUGGACAAAAAAAACACAGGAUAUAUUUUUCAUUUUUUUGUCCAUUUCUUUUUUUCCAUUUGGAUGGAGAACCUGGCUAGUAUGCUUUACUGUAUAAUGUGUUUUACACAAUGCCUUGUAAAAGGAAUCUUGUAAUGUUUUAUUGUAUAAUGUGUUUUACACAAUGCCUUUUUAUGAUAUAUAUAAU